rnacentral:rRNA from 1 species
UACGGAGGGUGCAAACGUUGCUCGGAAUCAUUGGGCGUAAAGCGUGCGUAGGCGGUUCGUUAAGUCUGCUGUGAAAGCCCUGGGCUCAACCUGGGAACUGCAGUGGAUACUGGCGGACUAGAGUGUGAUAGAGGAUGGUGGAAUUCCCGGUGUAGCGGUGAAAUGCGUAGAGAUCGGGAGGAACACCAGUGGCGAAGGCGGCCAUCUGGAUCAACACUGACGCUGAGGCACGAAAGCGUGGGGAGCAAACAGG